rnacentral:rRNA from 2 species
AGAGUUUGAUCAUGGCUCAGAUUGAACGCUGGCGGCAGGCCUAACACAUGCAAGUCGAGCGGAAACGAGUUAUCUGAACCUUCGGGGAACGAUAACGGCGUCGAGCGGCGGACGGGUGAGUAAUGCCUAGGAAAUUGCCCUGAUGUGGGGGAUAACCAUUGGAAACGAUGGCUAAUACCGCAUAAUGCCUACGGGCCAAAGAGGGGGACCUUCGGGCCUCUCGCGUCAGGAUAUGCCUAGGUGGGAUUAGCUAGUUGGUGAGGUAAUGGCUCACCAAGGCGACGAUCCCUAGCUGGUCUGAGAGGAUGAUCAGCCACACUGGAACUGAGACACGGUCCAGACUCCUACGGGAGGCAGCAGUGGGGAAUAUUGCACAAUGGGCGCAAGCCUGAUGCAGCCAUGCCGCGUGUGUGAAGAAGGCCUUCGGGUUGUAAAGCACUUUCAGUCGUGAGGAAGGUGGUGUAGUUAAUAGCUGCAUUAUUUGACGUUAGCGACAGAAGAAGCACCGGCUAACUCCGUGCCAGCAGCCGCGGUAAUACGGAGGGUGCGAGCGUUAAUCGGAAUUACUGGGCGUAAAGCGCAUGCAGGUGGUUUGUUAAGUCAGAUGUGAAAGCCCGGGGCUCAACCUCGGAAUAGCAUUUGAAACUGGCAGACUAGAGUACUGUAGAGGGGGGUAGAAUUUCAGGUGUAGCGGUGAAAUGCGUAGAGAUCUGAAGGAAUACCGGUGGCGAAGGCGGCCCCCUGGACAGAUACUGACACUCAGAUGCGAAAGCGUGGGGAGCAAACAGGAUUAGAUACCCUGGUAGUCCACGCCGUAAACGAUGUCUACUUGGAGGUUGUGGCCUUGAGCCGUGGCUUUCGGAGCUAACGCGUUAAGUAGACCGCCUGGGGAGUACGGUCGCAAGAUUAAAACUCAAAUGAAUUGACGGGGGCCCGCACAAGCGGUGGAGCAUGUGGUUUAAUUCGAUGCAACGCGAAGAACCUUACCUACUCUUGACAUCCAGAGAACUUUCCAGAGAUGGAUUGGUGCCUUCGGGAACUCUGAGACAGGUGCUGCAUGGCUGUCGUCAGCUCGUGUUGUGAAAUGUUGGGUUAAGUCCCGCAACGAGCGCAACCCUUAUCCUUGUUUGCCAGCGAGUAAUGUCGGGAACUCCAGGGAGACUGCCGGUGAUAAACCGGAGGAAGGUGGGGACGACGUCAAGUCAUCAUGGCCCUUACGAGUAGGGCUACACACGUGCUACAAUGGCGCAUACAGAGGGCAGCAAGCUAGCGAUAGUGAGCGAAUCCCAAAAAGUGCGUCGUAGUCCGGAUUGGAGUCUGCAACUCGACUCCAUGAAGUCGGAAUCGCUAGUAAUCGUGGAUCAGAAUGCCACGGUGAAUACGUUCCCGGGCCUUGUACACACCGCCCGUCACACCAUGGGAGUGGGCUGCAAAAGAAGUAGGUAGUUUAACCUUCGGGAGGACGCUUACCACUUUGUGGUUCAUGACUGGGGUGAAGUCGUAACAAGGUAGCGCUAGGGGAACCUGGCGCUGGAUCACCU